GAAUGUCUGCCUGCGCAUUGUGUG
rnacentral:siRNA from 1 species